rnacentral:rRNA from 1 species
ACGGCUCAGUAACACGUGGAUAAUCUGCCUUAGGGAGGGGUAUAACCUCGGGAAACUGAGGACAAUCCCCCAUAGGCGACAAGCACUGGAAUGUCUGUCGCCAAAAGAGAAGACCUGUAUUCGGUUCAUCGCCCUAAGAUGAGUCUGCGGCGGAUUAGCUUGACGGUAGGGUAAUGGCCUACCGUGGCCUUGAUCCGUACCGGCCUUGAGAGAGGGAGCCGGGAGAUGGACACUGAGACAAAGGUCCAGGCUCUACGGAGUGCAGCAGUCGCGAAACCUUCGCAAUGUGCGCAAGCAUGACGAGGGAACCCCAAGUGCGCAUGCAAAGCAUGUGCUUUUACUAAGUGUAAAAAGCUUAGGGAAUAAGGGCUGGGUAAGACUGGUGCCAGCCUCCGCGGUAACACCAGCAGCUCAAGUGGUGAUCGCGUUUACUGGGUUUAAAGCGUGCGUAGUCGGUCCGGCAAGUUUUCUGUGAAAUCCUGCGGCUCAACCGUAGGGAUUGCAGAAAAAACUAUCGGACUCGAGACCGGGGCAGGAGUGGGGUAUUCUGGGGGUAGCGGUGAAAUGCUAUAAUCCCUGGAAGACCACCGGCAGCGAAGGCGCCACUCUGGAACGGGUCUGACGAUGAGGUACGAAAGCUAGGGGAGCGAACAGGAUUAGAUACCCUGGUAGUCCUAGCCGUAAACGAUGCGGGUUUAGUGUUCCCUGGAUCUCGUGUUCGGGGAGUGCUGAAGGGAAACCGUUAAACCCGCCACCUGGGGAGUACGGUCGCAAGGCUGAAACUUAAAGGAAUUGGCGGGGGAGCAC